CCCAGAAGGAGAAGCGAUCGGCCCCAAAAGAAGUGGAAGAAAGAAUUGCUCCAAGACCACGGCAGCUUUAAAGGCCGCCGGCUGCCUCUCUCGAGUCCCACCAUUGGCAGUCUAAUCGCCUAUCGACUUCACGUCUCUCCGCCAGACCACCACUACCCCGUCUAUCUCUGGUCUGGUCCCAAGUCCCAAUUAGUCGGAGCCUCCUGCCCUCCUCGACCGCUCAAGCCAAGAACCAGAAGCCAUGGAGACGGCGGCGCCGGCGCCGGCGCCGUGGGCGGAAAUGGAGAUGGACUGCAUGGUGCAAGUGUUCGUGCGCCUCGACCUCGAGGACCUGGCGGCGGCGGCCCCGCUCGUGUGCCGGAGCUGGCGCCGGGCCGCCGCCGACCCGUCCCUGUGGCGCGCGCUCGACCUGCGCCGGGACCACGUCGCGCGCUUCAUGCCCUGGGGAGCGCUCGCCGCCGCCUUCGCGCGCCACUACGCUGUGCGCAGGUUCUCCGUCGCGGGCUUCCUCAGGCUCUGCGUGUCGCGCGCGCGCGGGUACGCCGACGACGUCGCGCUCCCGCCGCUCCUCGCCGAGCCGGCGGACGAGAUCGACCACAUUUCCCUCCACUGUCCCAGGCUGCGGCGCCUGGCGCUCCCGCAGCUGACGGCCAGCGACGAGGCGCGCCUGCCGGACAUCGUCCCGCGGUGGCCGCUGCUGGAGCACCUGGAGCUGGAGGCCAAGCCAUCCUCCUCCUCUUUCCCCGCGCUCGCCGCGCAGCUCGCUCUGCACUGCCCGGGCUUCGCCAGCCUCAAGACCUCCGGGGCCGUCAAGCCCGAGGACGCCGCGGCGCUGGCGCGCUCCCUGCCCAGGCUCCGGUCCCUGUGCCUCGACCGCUCCUACCUGCCCAAGGAACAGUUCCUCUCCAUCCUCGCCGCCUGCAGGGACCUACGGGAGUUCAGCGCGCGCUGCUGCGUCGGCUUCGACGACAAGGACGAGGAGGUGCUCAGACGAGGGGCCAGGAUCCAGCGGUUCGACGUAGAAGGGUCCAAGCUAAUGGACGACCUGGAGGACGAGUUCGCCGCCGGUGACGGUUUCUGCGAUUCGGCCUACGUUGACGUGAUGUGAUAUUAAACUAAAUUAAAUAAUUACUAUUCUCAUAUUAAAUACUUUGAUAUAUCUGUGCCAUCUGGAAUAAUUAGUUAAAAUAAAUACACUACAUAUCUACUUC
rnacentral:misc_RNA from 1 species